UACCAACUAUCAACUACCCAAGUCCAACGUCCCAAAGGCGAAAAAGAAAAACAAAUAUAAACAAAAGCGGCGGAUUUCCCGAAGUUACCAAUAUCGAUUCCCCUCUUUGAAAAACAAUAUCGAAAACAACCAAUUUACCUUCUCAAAAACACUUGUAAGGUUUCUGUUUCAUUCCAACAUUCUUGCGGAAUUGGUUGUGGAGAUCAGCAAAUUCACCAUUAUCACUAGCACUGAACUGAACUGACGGAAAGUUUUCAUGCAAGGGUGAACAUGAAACUGAUCAAGUGGCAACAGAAACUUAGGAAACUCCAAGGUAUAUUGGGAGAAAAGGUUUGAAUGAUAGAAAUAAUGAAGGUUCUGGUUCUCGUCACACAUAGGUGGUGCAGAUUGUGUUUGAGGUACCUAAUAUCAAGGAUGUGGAGAGAGUAAUACUGAAAAUGCUAUACUAACUACUUCAUGAUUAUUGGAUUCAGAGAACUAUUACUGUUAUCCUAGGAAUUUCAACACUUGCCUCAUUGAUGAGUUGAAAUCGUUUCCAACAGAACUAACAGCGCUAGCGGUCUUAUGGUGGG